GCCGAGGUGGCUUAGCGGGUUAUAGCGCCCGGCUCAUAACCGGGAGGUCGAGGGUUCGAAUCCCUCCCUCGGCA
rnacentral:tRNA from 1 species